rnacentral:rRNA from 1 species
UACAGAGGUCUCAAGCGUUGUUCGGAUUCAUUGGGCGUAAGGGUGCGUAGGUGGUGAUGCAAGUCUGGUGUGAAAUCUCGGAGCUCAACUCCGAAAUUGCACCGGAUACUGCGUGACUCGAGGACUGUAGAGGAGAUCGGAAUUCACGGUGUAGCAGUGAAAUGCGUAGAUAUCGUGAGGAAGACCAGUUGCGAAGGGCGGAUCUCUGGGCAGUUCCUGACACUGAGGCACGAAGGCCAGGGGAGCAAACGGG